GAGUAACACGUGGGUAAUCUACCUUUUGGUGGGGGAUAACCCUGGGAAACCGGGGCUAAUACCGCAUAAGCUCGGAAGAGGAAAAGAGAAAUUUGCCGAAAGAGGAGCCCGCGGCUGAUUAGCUAGUUGGUGGGGUAAAGGCUCACCAAGGCUAUGAUCGGUAGCCGGCCUGAGAGGGCACACGGCCACACUGGCACUGAAACACGGGCCAGACUCCUACGGGAGGCAGCAGUGGGGAAUCUUGCACAAUGGGGGAAACCCUGAUGCAGCGACGCCGCGUGAGUGAUGAAGCCCUUCGGGGUGUAAAGCUCUUUCGGCAGGGACGAUAAUGACGGUACCUGAAGAAGAAGCUGCGGCUAACUACGUGCCAGCAGCCGCGGUAAUACGUAGGCAGCGAGCGUUGUUCGGAGUUACUGGGCGUAAAGAGUGCGUAGGCGGUUUUCUAAGUUUGGUGUGAAAUCUCCCGGCUCAACUGGGAGGGUGCGCCGAAGACUGGGAGGCUGGAGUAUGGGAGAGGUAAGCGGAAUUCCUGGUGUAGCGGUGAAAUGCGUAGAUAUCAGGAGGAACACCUGCGGUGUAGACGGCUUACUGGACCAUAACUGACGCUGAGGCACGAAAGCGUGGGUAGCAAACAGGAUUAGAUACCCUGGUAGUCCACGCCCUAAACGAUGCAUACUUGGUGUGGGUAG
rnacentral:rRNA from 1 species